rnacentral:lncRNA from 10 species
AAGAGAGGGUCCCUAACCCAGUACAGCUGAUGUUCUUAUUAGGCGAGAGAGAGAGACCAGGGAUGUGUGUGCACCUAGGAAAGGCCACGUGAGGACCCUGUGAGAAGGCCCCCAUCUGCAAGCCAAGGAGAGCAGCCUCAAGAGAAACCAGACCUGGUGCCAUCUUGAUUGUGGACUUCCAGCCUCCAGAACUGGGAGAAGUAAAUUGCUGUCGUUUAAGCGAGAACAGAGAUUGCAGGUCUCCUGAUCAAGCACCCGAGGGAGCUACUCCAGGAGACGGCAGGGCCCUGAAGAAGUCAUUUCCUAGUUUACUUUCUUCCUGGGCUGGAGAAGAACAGUUGCGGCCUGACCUGAAACCCUGUCUCCCCAGGGCUUUGCUCAAGAGGCUCCGGAGAAGUGGCCUCUGUCCUGCCAAGUUAUGGAAUGCCACCUUAUUGUGGAAUGGUCCCAUGCAGAACACACACCACCCCACGGAAACACCCACUCCAGGUGGGGGCCAGAAAUCCGUUGUCUUCAGUGACUUCCUAACCCAGGCCAGUGGGUACAGUUCCAGUUUCCAGCUAGCCAAGUCCAUUUUCACCCCCGAACCUCCUGCUGAGCUUUUCUCCUGCAUGUCACCACCCACAGAUUCAAGAUCAAGACCCUAACUUGCCUCUCAGACUCCGGGAGGACAGACAGAAGGCGGAAAGUCAUGUCUCCUGAAUUCAGCUUUUCCAUGGGCUUAGAUUCCCAGUGAUCACCUUGGCGGCUUCACCUGGCUUUCCCAGCCUCCUUAUUCUUUUUCAUCUUCAAAGGAUGGUGAAGCUAUUGGGCCCAACCGCUGAGGAUUCAACAAGGGAGAUUGUGAACGCUCCAAGAACAGCAGGUUCCACACUGAAACUCAGUAGCCACUUUGAACCAAACUGUGUGUGUUUUCAGAAGUAUUUCUUCUUGCUGAAGACCCGAGGGACUGGGCUUUUUGAGGGUCAUUUCUCCAGUGGAUUUAGCCUGCCUGGGAAAAGUUUUAGACAAGCAGCAGGGGACAGGGGAAAAUAGAAUCCUGGAAGAUGGCUCCUGUUCUGUGAUUGCAUUUUAAAAAUCUCCAAAUAAAUUCUCCGCUGUGGAAAGGUGGACAUCUGUUCAAUUCUGCACUUAACAAAUAAUAAGAAUUUGGAAGGGGUGGAUUUUGUUAUGGAUUCAGAAUUGAAAUUUCAUGCUUUAAUUAUUUUUAAAAUUUUAAUCAUUUUUUAUUAAAACAUAACUUACACAUAAUAAAAUGUACCGGUUUGAUGUGUACAGUUGAAUGAGUUAUGACAAAUGUAUAUACACCCAGCUAACCACCACCACAAUCAAGAUUCCAAAUAUCGCAAUCUCCCCAAUCAGUAGGUAUUAUUUCCAGCCAGCUCCCCACCCAUCCCCAGCCUUGACAGCCACUGCUUUGCUUGCUUUUUUUUUUUUUUUCCGAGACAGAGUCUUGCUCUGUCUUGCUCAGGCCGGAGUGCAGUGGUGUGAUCUUGGCCCACUGUAGCCUCUGCCUCCUGGGUUCAAGCAAUUCUCCUGUCUCAGCCUCCCCAGUAGCUGGGACUACAGGUGUCUGCCACCAC